GAUGAAGAACGUAGCGAAAUGAGAUACUUGGUGUGAAUUGCAGAAUCCCGUGAACCAUCGAGUCUUUGAACGCAAGUUGCGCCCGAAGCCAUUAGGCCGAGGGCACGCCUGCCUGGGCGUCACACGUCGUUGCCCCCCCAUCUACUCCUUCGGGAUUGCGGGGGGCGGAUGAUGGCCUCCCGUGCGCCUCGUCGCGCGGUUGGCAUAAAUGCCAAGUCCUCGGCGACGCACGCCACGACAAUCGGUGGUUGCGAAACCUCGGUUGCCCGUCGUGUGCGGUCGUCGCGCAUCGAGGGCUCGAAAAAAUUGCCGGGCUCCGGCUCGGCUUUCAACGCGACCCCAGGUCAGGCGGGGUUACCCGCUGAAUUUAAGCAUAUCAAUAAGCGGAGGA
rnacentral:misc_RNA from 1 species